ACGGGGUCAGCAGGCGCGAAAACUUUGCAAUGUGCGAAAGCACGACAAGGUUAAUCCGAGUGGUUUCUGCUAAAGAAACCUUUUGUCAGUCCUAGAAACACUGAUGAAUAAGGGGUGGGCAAGUUCUGGUGUCAGCCGCCGCGGUAAAACCAGCACCUCAAGUGGUCAGGAUGAUUAUUGGGCCUAAAGCAUCCGUAGCUCGUUUUGUAAGUUUUCGGUUAAAUCCAUGCGCUUAACGUAUGGGCUGCCGGGAAUACUGCAUAACUAGGAAGUGGGAGAGGUAGACGGUACUCGGUAGGAAGGGGUAAAAUCCUUUGAUCUAUUGAUGACCACCUGUGGCGAAGGCGGUCUACCAGAACACGUUCGACGGUGAGGGAUGAAAGCUGGGGGAGCAAACCGGAUUAGAUACCCGGGUAGUCCCAGCUGUAAACUAUGCAAACUCAGUGAUGCAUUGGCUUGUGGCCAAUGCAGUGCUGCAGGGAAGCCGUUAAGUUUGCCGCCUGGGAAGUACGUACGCAAGUAUGAAACUUAAAGGAAUUGGCGGGGGAGCAC
rnacentral:rRNA from 2 species